GAUGGGCCCUACAAGGUUACUGACUUCAGCCAAACUCCGAAUGCCGGGAAGUGAGAGCGUGGCAGUGAGACUGUGGGGGAUAAGCUUCAUAGUCGAGAGGGAAACAGCCCAGAUCGCCGGCUAAGGUCCCCAAGUCGUGGCUAAGUGGGAAAGGAUGUGGGACUCCCAAAACAACCAGGAGGUUGGCUUAGAAGCAGCCAUCCUUUAAAGAAAGCGUAACAGCUCACUGGUCUAAAUAAGGGUUCCUGCGGCGAAAAU
rnacentral:rRNA from 1 species